rnacentral:rRNA from 1 species
GUUUGAUCAUGGCUCAGGAUGAACGCUAGCGGCGUGCCUUAUGCAUGCAAGUCGAACGGUCUUAAGCAAUUAAGAUAGUGGCGAACGGGUGAGUAACGCGUAAGUAACCUACCUCUAAGUGGGGGAUAGCUUCGGGAAACUGAAGGUAAUACCGCAUGUGGUGGGCCGACAUAUGUUGGUUCACUAAAGCCGUAAGGCGCUUGGUGAGAGGCUUGCGUCCGAUUAGCUAGUUGGUGGGGUGAUGGCCUACCAAGGCUUCGAUCGGUAGCUGGUCUGAGAGGAUGAUCAGCCACACUGGGACUGAGACACGGCCCAGACUCCUACGGGAGGCAGCAGCAAGGAAUCUUGGGCAAUGGGCGAAAGCCUGACCCAGCAACGCCGCGUGAGGGAUGAAGGCUUUCGGGUUGUAAACCUCUUUUCAUAGGGAAGAAUAAUGACGGUACCUGUGGAAUAAGCUUCGGCUAACUACGUGCCAGCAGCCGCGGUAAUACGUAGGAAGCAAGCGUUAUCCGGAUUUAUUGGGCGUAAAGUGAGCGUAGGUGGUCUUUCAAGUUGGAUGUGAAAUUUCCCGGCUUAGCCGGGACGAGUCAUUCAAUACUGUUGGACUAGAGUACAGCAGGAGAAAACGGAAUUCCCGGUGUAGUGGUAAAAUGCGUAGAUAUCGGGAGGAACACCAGAGGCGAAGGCGGUUUUCUAGGUUGUCACUGACACUGAGGCUCGAAAGCGUGGGGAGCGAACAGAAUUAGAUACUCUGGUAGUCCACGCCUUAAACUAUGGACACUAGGUAUAGGGAGUAUCGACCCUCUCUGUGCCGAAGCUAACGCUUUAAGUGUCCCGCCUGGGGAGUACGGUCGCAAGGCUAAAACUCAAAUGAAUUGAC